GACGAACGCUGGCGGCGUGCCUAAUACAUGCAAGUCGAACGCAGUGGGGACGGGUGAGUAACACGUGGGUAACCUCCCAUCAGAGGGGAUAACACUUGGAAACAGGUGCUAAUCCGAUAUUGAUGGAUGAACUCGCGGUGCAUUAGCUAGUGGGUGAGGUAACGGCUCACCAAGGCCACGAUGCAUAGCCGACCUGAGAGGGUGAUCGGCCACCCUGGGACUGAGACACGGCCCAGACUCCUACGGGAGGCAGCAGUAGGGAAUCUUCGGCAAUGGACGAAAGUCUGACCGAGCAACGCCGCGUGAGUGAAGAAGGUUUUCGGAUCGUAAAACUCUGUUGUUAGAGAAGCGGUAUCUAACCAGAAAGCAACGGCUAACUACGUGCCAGCCGCCGCGGUAAUAC
rnacentral:rRNA from 1 species